AAAAAAUUAAUUUAAAAUUUAUUUUACAUAUAAAUUUUGGUAUAUAAUUUUAAUUAUUUAAAAAAUAAUUAAUUUUAUUUGUAGUAAUUAAUAUUAAAAAUUUAAGAAAUUAAGAUUUAGAAAUAUAAAAAUUAAUAACAAAUUUUGUGCCAGCAGUUGCGGUUAUACAAAAAUUAAAUUUAAUUUUAUCAUUAAUUAAUUAAUAAAAAAUAAUUAAUAAAAAUAAUAAAUUAUUAAGUGAAAUUUUAAUUUAUGAAAAAAUUAAAUUAAAAUUAUGAUUUAAUAAAUUAAAUAAAUAAACUAGGAUUAGAUACCCUAUUAUAAAUAAUUUAAAAUUAAAAAAUUGAAAUAGUAAAUAAUUUUAUUGAAACUUAAAUAAUUUGGCGGUAUUUUAGUUCAUUUAGAGGAAUCUGUUUAAUAAUUGAUAAUCCACGAAUAAAUUUACUUAAUUUAAAAUUUUGUAUAUCGUUGUUAAAAAAAUAUUUUUUAGUAAAAAUAAUAUUUAAAAAUUAAAAUUAAAAAUUAAAUCAGAUCAAGAUGCAGAUUAUAAUUAAGAAUAUAAUGGAUUACAAUAAAUUUAUUUAGAUGAAAAUUAGUUUGAAAAAAUUAUUUGAAGGUGGAUUUAAAUGUAAUUUUAUUUAAUUUAAUAAAAUGAUUAUAAAUUAAAAUAUGUACAUAUUGCCCGUCGCUUUCAUUUAUAAAUUGAAAUAAGUCGUAACAAAGUAGAGGUACUGGAAAGUGUUUCUAGAAAGAU
rnacentral:ncRNA from 1 species